CACAGGGCUCCACCUGUGAUAGCGGGUGACAGUAGUUAUCUACCCCGUGGGGCUGUUUAGGGCAUGACAUGAGCGCUGGCCUUGCAAUCGGAUGUUGAUAAAUGUUUAUAUGAGCGCAGAGCCUGCCGCAUGGUAGGUGAUCACUAGCUGUGUAGACUCUUAAAAGCUCCCGCUGACCUGGGACCAAUCAGUGGGAAAGUAAGUGGAAUCAUCUUGGCCCCUGCUGCCUGGAGCAGCCUAGAAUCCAACAGAGACUUAUUUGGUGCACCUGGAGAGCUGCAGAAAUGUUCACACCUGCAACAGGUGAAUGGCAGGAUCUCUUCUCCCAUUCCUCCCAAGGGGUGUUGGUCCCAACUGGCCACAUGUGGAAAGCAAGCCUUUAUUACCCUGAUUACUACCGGCUGGUGAAGAAACAAAAACUAGGCCAGGAAGGCCUUGAGGUGGGAAGGGAAUCGUGCCCUGAUGGUCUGUCUCCAGGAGCAGCCCCUUGCCUUCGGGCUGCUGUAGAGAGCUCACUGUGCGAGACUGUGGCGUGGCAGGUGGAAGGUCGGUGACGAGGGGCAGGAGCAGGUGGGGACAGAGCAGGACCCAUGCCGAUGGCUUCCCCGGGUCCUUUCCAGCCUCCCUCUCAGGAGCCCUUCGGUUUCAUAACCCACAUGAUUCAUCCUUUCUGCUGGCGUGAGUCACCCCAGUGGAGGUGGGAGAACAGGGACCAGCCAAAUUCUUGUUCACAAGUGCUCCUGCCAGGGGCCCCUCUGGAACCUGGGGACUGAAUUCCCACACUUUCUUCCCUUUUCUGCACAAAUGCAGUUUGCCCUCCCUUUCCUCCCCUGGCCAAGUGGGCUCAGCCCACGAUGCAGAAUGCAGGCCCUGAGUUUCCCUCCUGCAGAUGGCCUCACCCUGCCCAUGUGAGAGACAGAGGCCCUAGCACAGGCUGGGCUGCCCUGCGGGAAAUCGCACUGCCCUGACAGGGCAGAAACAGUACCCAGAACCCACAGCCUGUCUCUUCCCAAUGCCACCCUGGCUGCCCACAGAGGAGGGACACUGGAUUAAAGGCCUCCCUCUGUCACUUACCAGCAAUACACUUGUCACCUUUCUGGCCCCUGUUGGCCAGACUGUCCCUCGACCCUGUCCUGGACCUUGUGUUGUACUCCUUCAAGUACGUGACCCUCUUCAAGCUACGGCUACAAUGCACAUAGUCUAAGUUAUUAUGAAGCGGCUCAUGUGUCCCCAGAGGAUACUGCCAAAGCAGCAGUGAUUUUGACAGAUAGAGAUAAGGGUUUUUCCAUAAUAAUUUAGUAGAUUAAGGGAUUCAGCCCACUGAACUGAGAGGAGACUAAAAUGCAUCUGAAUUUUUAUUUGGAGGGAUCCGAAUUUAUUUUAUUAAUAGAUCUGCUCAUUUGGGGUAAACUUUACAUUUACUGUGGAUGUGCCCAGACAAUAUCUUGGCUUCAAUUUUGUCGGGAGCCCAGCUUCCCAAAAUGAACAUCUUAAAGCACCUGCUGUGGGUUGCUCAUUGAUUUACAAGGUGACAGGACAGCUUGAUCCCAGAAGGACCAGCCCUUUGCACUGUGACUGGAUCUGCAAUAAGACCUGCCUCGUCUUCCUGUAGGGAGGGGGUUUACCACUCACUCCAGCUCCAGCUCUCCAGAUGGCCCUUGAGGGCCACACAGCUCUGUAGGAACAGGGGUGGGGGGCCUGCUGCUUCCCUAGUCUGAGGUCAGCAGGCCUGCAGAUGGACAGGACAUAGACCACAAAGGUGACUGGAGCCAGGAAAUUUUUCGGUUUUUUUUUUAAAUUUUAUUAUUAUUUUUUAAAAUUAUUUUUUGGUCACACUACACGGCAUGUGGGAUCUUAGUUCCCUGACCAGUGAUAGAACCCACACACCCUGCACUGGAAGCGUGGAAUCUUAACCACUUCGGAAGGAGGCAAUUUCUGGAUCAAAUUCUGUUUCAACACACCCCAAGUGGCUAUGUGAAGUCUUCUGCUAUCAAGUGGUCCGGGCAGCACUGGGCACCCCUUGGCCCCAGCUGUGUAAUCCUGUACUUGCUGUGAAGGGAUCAAUGGUGGGCAUGAGAACACACUGUAAUUCAGUAACAUCUUCCCAGUGAUGCCACCUCCUCUUGUCUGAUUUGGGAAGAUACUAGCAUAAAUAUCACAUCUUUGUAUUAGCAUUUUCUAAAACUUCUGAAGGGAAGUUUUCUAAAACUUCGGAAGUGUGCUAGGUUCGGUAGGUUUAGGUUGGGGUGGCAUCCCUCAAAGAACGUCUGAUGGGCACCACCUUCAGGAUGUGGGAGAAAAGCACGCACUCAGCAGAGCUUCCCUGCCACUUGUGUGCAACCCCGGGCAAAGCUAUUCCAGUAUCCUCUGCCAAAAUGGCAGUAAUGAUGCUGUGCCGAUGCAGGGGAUCUGUGGAGCCAGUCAAAGCUGACAGGGGCCAAGCCCCUUGCCCAGCCUGGCACCAAGUACACGCUGCGCAAAUGGUGAUACCGGUGACCACUGCUGCCGCCGGGCACCAGGAGCGUCCAGUGGGGUAAGAUGGGCAAGGCUGCACACUCUGUCCCUCUGUGGGGUUCACGGGCACAUAAAUGUCCUGUCCUUCCACCAGGCCUAGUUGCACAUUUCCUCACAUCUUAACAUCCCUGAAAUCGGGGAAAAUCUCACAGUCCAGUGUCUUGUGAUCACCACUGGCCUGGACCGAAAUUGACCGAAAUUGACUUCUUCCUGAGAGGAUUUGUGUUUGCUCCCCCCAGUGGUCUGGGACACAGCUCCUGAGACCCCUUGGGGACCACAUGGGUGGUGUGACCCCCAGCUGAGAACCACCUUAUGGUUCAAAUGAUCAGUACAAGCAUUUCUCCCUGCCUCCACCAUGGCCAGGGGACAGGCCAGGGGGCUCCCUGCUGUCCCUCUCUGGUGGUGGGUUUAUUUCUCAUCUUCUCCUGCACCAACGGUGCAGCCUUUCACUGGCACAUGAAUGGAAGAGUCCCCAUGACACUUCCCAACUUGGACACUUUUGCUUUCUCAGUAAUAUGUCAACUCCUGACGCAUCUUCCACUUAAGGGUGUGUCUUGGAUUUGGUGAAUAUGGCAUUAAUGCCUCCAAGACGUAUUGCAGUAGAGAUGCCUAUUUGACUCUCUCAAAUGGCUCUGAUGUUUCUUUUUGUGGCAUCUAUUAACAUUCUACAGCAGAGGUACAGAAAGUGCCGUGUUUUUAAUGAAAAUCUGUUUUGACUCCUUUGGCAAAGCAAAGGUCUCCCAUCGCCUGGUUAGUGUGAAUUUUCAAAUUCUACCCUUCUCUCAGGAGAACACCUGGAUGGUUUAGACUACACAGCAUUCAGAGGUGUGAUGCCCGAUAGGACGCAUUCUGUAGAGCUGACAGCCCUGACACCAAGCCUGGAUAACACACAUGGUCCCUAGCCUGGGGGACAGGAGAUGCUGACACAGACGCCACAUAGCGAGUGGGCCUGUGAUGAGAGUGGGCCCGCAGAAGAGUAGACCACUGCCUCCUUCUACCCCUUCCACACACACCCCGUCUCCUCACCCCACCCCCACCCCCGGUCCCGAGAAAGCAUCCAGGCCCAGGGCUUCUACAAACCAGGGGUCCCCCAAAUGACUCCAAGUCUUUUCACCCCAAAUCCUUCUCACUCUGGUGGGUCAGGGGUCUUCCCUUUCCGUCUUGCUCCACCUUCCACUCUGUGUUAUUGCCAGUUUAUCUCAUCAUCUCCUCAGUGUGGGCUCUGAUUCAUAUUGGGCUUUACUCCUUUCGAGGUGGGGGGUUGACCAUCUUGGGGGGUGCGUGGAGCAGCUCUCUGCCCACCCCACUCCCACCCACUCUUUGCCUCUCUGGUUAGACUCUCCCUUUAUACCUAGAUCCUCGUUGUCUUAAGAGUCUUGUGAAAACUGCUUCUCCUGCAAAACAAUUAUCCUGAAUCUAGCAAUUAUGUAUCUCAGUGUUCCUUUCAUAAACUCCCAGGCAAAAAUUUAGUGUCAAACAAGGAAUUUAGGAGCAAAACAGCUGAAACUCCCUCAGAAGCUCUUCCCAACUAAGAAUGAAAGCUUUGCCAUUUCUCUGUUUUCCCUUCUUGCCUUGGCUCCCAGGAGGCUCCGCGCCCCAUGUGAUAGAAAACCACAAUGGUUUACUUUCUCCUUGCCGCAGCAGUUAGGAUGCCUCUGGUUACAAGUACUGGAAUAUCCAAGUAAAAGGCACGUGGACAAUAAAGAUGACUCACUAUCCCAUGAACAGGAAUUUGGUGAGAGCUGGAUCCAGGGUUGUUAAUUCAGCAGCUCAGUGACAGCAGGGCUCAAGAUAGCCUUCCUGUCCUUUGCCUGGCCUUCUCCUCACGGACAGAGACAACUGCCCCACACUGGGGCAUCUCAAGAUGGCCUCCAAGGAAGGAAUGGCAGGAGCGACCUUCCCUCUCCUGACUGUCUCAUCUCCUUAGGGGAACACACCCAAUGUCCAGUCCAUUUCACCUCAGGCCCCACUGACCCGAACUGGAUCACAAACCCUCCCCCUCCCAGGUAAAUCAUUGACAGAGUAAGCGGGGUCACCCACGUUGGUUUGCAUCAGUCUUGGUUUUCCUCCUGGGGAAACAUCACCGCCCCAGACUGAGUAAAAUCAGAGAUCUGCUAGCAAGACGCUGGUCCAGGAAGGCUGCUGGCUGGGCCUACCAUCUCCUCCCCUCCCUUUCUAUUCCAUCACCUUCAUAUAGAUUCAGACUGCAAAUGCAUAUUUAUUGAAAGGAAGAACACAAAGGAGGAGGGAGGGAAGGAAGAGCCCCCCCCCCCAUGCCAAGCAGACCCUCAGGAUCGCACUGCAUUUUACCCGAGCCCAGCAGACGGGCAGCGGGAUCUGCGUCUUAUUCCUGGGUGAGGACAUCAUUCCUUUGAUGCCAGGAUGAGUUUUGGCUUCGUUGCCUGAGCACUCUUUCCAAGUGAGAAUAAAUUAGGAACUUGGGAUCCGCCCCCCCCACUCUCUGCAAAUUGAGCGAGGCACAAGCUGGAGAGAAGAGCUCGAAAUCCAGUCCUUUCUAGACAACCAUUGUCUCGGGAACCCGAGUGUAUAAAGAGAUAAUGGGGAACGUGCAUCUCAGGGGCCGGGCUGGGUGCAGCAGAGGAACUGGCUGCUGCAGCCGGAGGCAGCAACGCGGUCGGUCACUCCUCUGUCCCCCCGCCCCCUCCAAGCUGCCCCUCCCUGGUUGCCCCUCCCUGGUUCCUCAGGGAACCCUCCCACCCCCACCCCCACCCCGUGGGCUCCUGCUCUGGCAAUUAAGCACACUCAUCUUUUCCUCUCCCAGAUCCUUCUCCUCAUCUGCACGUUUCCCAGCGCCCCGCCCCCCACCCUAAACAGGCUCCCUCACCCCCCACCCCAGGCCCUGGAGAAGGUCACCUGGCUCUUCACCUAAGGGUCACUCUGCGCCUGGCUCUCCGUUGAGUCGGCACCUGCGACCGCAGCCGACGGCGGAUGGAGAACCAGCCACCCGUCUCCCUGACAUGCACCAUCCACACCUCCGCAGUCGUGCAAAUCCCCAUGCUCCUUUCUCCACCUCCCACCCUGUCCCCACCCUCACUCUCCCGAGGCCCCGCGUCUUUCUUCAUCAGGUUCUCAGGGAAAACCGUCCUCUCCCACUGCACCCGUGGGCUCUGUCUCCCAACCCUGCUGCCCGAGGGGGCCCCGCUCCUGCCAAGGAACCCACUCCCUUCCUGGGCGCCCCCCUGCGCCCGCCGCCCCCCCAGCCCCGCCAUGUGGUUCUUCAAGGGUGUCCCUGCACCAGCUGCUGAGUUCUCUCUUUGCUGCUGUGAUUCCAGCAUCUUUAAAACAGCAAUAACAACGAACUCUCCAGCUACCCUCCCAUUUUUCUUCCUCCCUUUAUAGGAAAACAAAACUCUCAAAAAGUUGUCUCCACCCAGUGUCUGUUUCUCUCUGGCGCUCUCAAACCCAUGCCAAUCAGAUCACCCCUCACUGCCUGAAGCCACACCCUGCUUGCUGUCACCACUGCCCCGGGUGGCUAGAGGCCAGGGGCCAGUUCUCAGCCCUGGUCCCCCGAGCCCUUCCUGCAGCAUGUGACCACUCAUCCCUGAAGCCUUUCCCACGUGGCCUCCGGGACACCCCUCCCCACCGCGCUGGUCCCCCCAGCACAGAGGCUGCUCCUCAGUCUCCACUGCUGGUUCUUAGCAUCAGGGCCCCAAGCCCCAGUUCUGGGCUUCCUCCCUCUCCCCCGCCCACCCACCUCUACCACCCAACCGGAGACAUCAGUCAUUUUCAUCAUUGCGGGUGCCCAUUACCAGCUGAUGGUUCCCAACCUGUGUCACCAGCUUGGACGUCACACCUGAGCUCCAGACACUGAAGACAUCUCCCCUCUGCGUCUAAGGCUCAUCACACAAACUGAGCUCCUGCUCUUCCCAGCCCCCUAACCCACCCCCAGAUUUCCUAUCAUGGUAAAGGGCAGCCCCAAAGCCUGCAGCCCCCUUGACCCCUCCCCGAGUCUAGGCUCUCAGGGAAUCUGGUCAUUUCUACCUUGGAAAUCCAUCCAGAGCCUGAGUACUUCUCACCACUCCCACUGCUACCGCCCUGGGCCAGGCCACGCUCACAUGUCCCCUGGUAUAACUCAGCAGUCUCCUAAAUGCCCUCCCUAUUCUGCCCUUGCCCCUUGAAUCAGCCCUCAACACGGGGGAUCAUGUGAAACAGAGUCACACAGGCCACUCCCCAGCUUAGAGCCCUUCCAGGCUCAAACAGAGCAAAACCAAAGUCCUUGCAGCCCCAGAGGUCCCUUACAACCCACGCCAGCCUCCACACCCACCAUGCACAGCCCGUUGGUCAGAUAUUGGAAGAGCAUUGAACUGGAUGGUUUGAGCUUCCCGGAGGAAGUGACUUUUAAGCUGAGCUCAAAGAAAUAAACAGGAAAUACCUAGAUGAGCAGACAUCAGUCAGGUCUAAGUAGGAAAACAGAGACUGCACCAAGUGUUUACAGUGGAGGGAACUGGUGACAUGGAUGAUGGAAGAGCUGAGAUGGGGAAGGGAGGGGCAACCCGACAUUAACACCGACUCCCCCACCCCCCGGUAUCACCCGGCUCCAGGCAAAGCGCCUGGCAGUUGGUCGGCAUGUGCAAAGGCCCUGAGGCAGGAGGAAGGUGGUGUGGUGGGAGAGCUAGAAGAGAAACAAAGGGGCAGGGGCAUUGAUAGUGAAAGGAGGGUGGCCUGAGAAGGGACACGAGGCCAGGCUGGGGCAGCUUCACCAGCCCUGGCAAGAAUUUGGACUUAAUGCCAAGAGAAGUGGAAAGCAGAGGAGAGACGCUCCCGCUGUUGCGACCAGCCAAGCCUCAUGGCUCUCUGCAGCCCUUCCCAUCUUCAGAAGGACACACUUUGGGUCCCACACCUUUAGCUCUUUACUCAACACCCUCACUGUUCUGGUCUCUUAAAAACACCAGCCUGCUCACCUCUGCCCUGCCCAGACCCUGGCCUCAAACGUUCCCUGUGACAUCCAUGGAAGUGUUGUUCCCUCACCUGGCUCCUGCCUGGCUCCCCAUCCUUCCCCACCCCCUGGGCUCCCGUCCCAGCGGAGGCCUCACCUUGCACACACAGACUGUCAGGAUAACUUCCAACCUGGCUCUCUGCUCCAGCUCACUGCCCCUCUAACCCCACCCUCGACCUGAGGCUUGGUUCCCACGUGCUCUUGGGAGCCUACUAAUAAGACCACUGUGAAUGUCUGCAGCCAACAGGGUGGAGACCAAACUCCAUGAGGCAGAGCCCUCAUGGCCUUAGCAAGCUGGCGCUGUCUUUCUUGCUCUUCCUGCCCCAUCGUGGGCCAACCACCUUCCCAGAUGGACCAGCCCUUCAGGCCCAGGCUGCUUGGAUUUCGACACCUCCUCCCUGGGUGUGCCUUUCUCCCCUCCCCGCCCCCACAUGCAAAUUCCUCCUGCCGCAGGGUACCUCCUCUGUGAAGCCUUCCUUCACCAAAAGCACCCCUCCCCUGCCCCAGCCCUCUCCCUCUUGUCCCCAGGCAGAGCUGCUCACCUGGCUGUGCUGCCUUAUGUUCUGGUUCUGGAAUCUCUCACACCCAGCUCGGUGCCGACUGGGGGCUGAGUCUCAGAAGCUGCUUUCCAGCUCUUGGGGCUCCCUGGACCUCCCUUUCCUCCCUGGUAGGAAGAAGCCUCAGACCUGGUGCCUUUUCCCUGUACAAACAAGCUAGAACCUCCUUCUGGGGUUUCCUACAGCAGUCUCUUCCAGAACCUUGGAGGAGGAUAAGCUAGUCUGACGUGGGCAGGUAGGACUGUGAAGGGAAUCCUACAGGUUUAAAUACAAUCCAUUGGAGCCCUGGGUUUUUCCUAUAAAUAUGACUGCUGUCAUCCUAAAUGUCACACCAUCCAGGUUAUCUAGCCCUCAGUAUCAGGUGACAAUGAUUUUGCUAAAAGAAUCAAGACCAGAAGACCUGACUGUAGGUGGCCAAGAGCAGCAGCAGAUCCAGGGCCAAGGGCAGUAGAGCCGGGUCUCAUCGACGCCAAGCAGCCCUAGGACCAGGGCAGGCGUUGGGCUUGCCGAGCCGGGGCUGCAGGAGCGCAGAGGGGCUUUAUGACAAGUCGGUGUAUCACGUGAAACAAGGGGCCUAGAGACAAGAGAAGCCUGGUGACCACAGGCCCCGAGAAGCAAGACGCAAAGGCACCCACGUUCCUUUCCACAUGCUGCUUCAAUUUUCUGCUGACCUGAACAUAGCUUCCUGCAGCAUUGCCCUGGUGCGGGCCCCGGAGUCCGGUCUCAGGCAGGGCGGGGCAGCGGGCAGUGGGGUGGGCUCUGGGUAGUGGGUGGAAUCCAGCCCAGUGCUUGCUGGCUGUGUCACUUUGGACAGGUCACCUCGCCUGCUAGGCCUCAGUUUCCUCCGCCGUAGAUGAGACUUAAAACGGCCCCUCCAUGGAGAGGAGGCAAGGUCAUUCAUGCAGGGCCAGGACCUCAAGGGCAGCCAGCAGGCUGGCAGCAAAGCUCCUGAGACGUGUGUCUCUGGUUUGGCAGAUGCUGGCAGGGGUUGUGGUGACAGCAGAAGCGUGGGGUGGCAGGGCGCUGUGCCGAGUUACAUUUAGAUGUUACUAAAACCUAAAUGGUUACUGUUAUCUUGCUUGGAUCUAUGUGGUGAAUUUAGGGCUUCCAAAAAUCCACUUGAGGCUUUUUAUAUACUCACUAUUUAUAGUCUAAACUCUCCCAAAUCCCCAACCCAGCCAAAAUCAUUCCUGCUGUGUUUUCUCUCCACCCAGACGCACUAGCAGCAGGGAACACAGCAGCGUGAACUGCAGCCCCAGCAAGCCCAGCACUUUUUCUCCUCAGGGAGCGAGACCCAGGAACUCCUCUGCCCUGUGCGAGGCCACUGGCCACCAUGUCCAGUCCCACCAACAACGCCACCAAGCCUGCCGUUCCAUACGGUCAUUUCCAAAAGGUGGAAAAUUUGGUAACCAAACAAUAUUUCUGUGACCCAUACGAUUUUGCGUCUAGCUGUCUUCAUCUGGAUCAGGGCUAAUUCCCUUAUUAUUUUUCUUUCUCCUAAGCCCCUUUUACCCCAAUCCUGUAAGGUGAUCUUUCAUUACAAACCAGCAACAUGGAGCAGCGUGCUCCCCCCAAGCAUGUAGUCAUCAUGGGUCACAGGUCGUCACCCUCGUUCUCUCAGUCCCCACCCUUGGGAACCUUCUCGCUCACAGCCAAAAUGCUGCACCUCUCAGGCCAAACUUCAUGGAGGGCUUGGGGCACAAGCUGUACCACAAGACAGCACAGCAGGAAGUGAGCUCAGGUCCUGUCUCCUGGAACAGGCAGGGGAGGGUCUGGACAGAGCAGAUGCCCAGGCAGGAGAAGGAGAGGCAGUGGAGCACUGUGGUUAGAGCAGAGAUUCUUGAACUGACCAUCUAGGUUCUCAUUCCAGCUCUGCCAUUCCUAGCUGUGUGACCUCAGGCAAGUCAGUUAACCUCUCUGGGCCUAGGUUUUCCCAACUGAGGAUAAAAUGGGCACAAAAUUUGUGUUCACCUCAAAUGAGUCAAGGUAGAUAAAGUGCUCUGACUUGUGCCCUGCGCUUAGACAGCAUCACGUAAGAGGUGUGAUUAUGAGGCCAGACAUCUGACUGCUACCUGUAAACACAUGCUGCAGAAGUUUGUGUGCGGCUGUGUGAGCACAAAUGUGCUCCAGGCCGGCCAGCCCCGUGGCGCCGCUCCACGGAGACAGAUGCUCCACAUCCCAGACACAGAAGGAGCAUGCGGCGCACAGACAGCCCCAGGGCCGUCAGGAGGGAGCUAGGCAAGGAAGGAAGGAGGAAGUGGGGGCCAAGGAAGGCAGGACAAAGCGGGGGCAAGGAAGAGAAACACUCAUGUCUUACUGAGGCCUCUGCCAGGCUUUCACGUACAUCUGUGUCUCAUUUGUUUUUAAAGCCGCCCCGUACAGUGGUUAUGAUUCCUCCCAUUUUACAGAUAAAAGUGAAUGUUGUAGUCAGGGUGGAGGGGUGGUUGUGAAGGCACAAGACAAAGGUGGAGGAGGAAGCCAAGUCACGCCCAGAGGUGCCUGUCCUGUCCCGCAGACAGUGAGCGAGAUCCCUGGAUGACGGGCAAGGCCCGCGAGGCCUGGAGGGCGGGGAAGCAGAACCCUCCCCUGGUCCACCUGGGGGUCGGCAGAAACGGGCGACAGGCCUGGGGAAGUCACUGGCUGAUGGUGACCAUCUCUGCCAUCCCCACCCCAGGGCUGUGCUCCUGGGCACUCAGGGUCCCUCCAGAACUGCCCCCGGGGUCAGCAGGCUACACCGUUGCCCCUAGAGGAGAUAGAGGAGGGAGGAGCCGUAUCUGAAGCAGCCGGCCCAGGGAGGCCAGGAGGGAGGCCAGGGUUUCCAAGCUGGGGAACCCCUGGGUGGGGUGCCCACCAGCCCCGGAGCUGCCUCCACUCUCUGCCUGUGUCACCUCCCUGUCAGAGGAACUCAAGAAAGUGAGUGCCCUGGGUGGGGGCAAAACUGGUCCUUUGGGACACAAAGCCCAAGGAUGCACCCACACCCCAUGGCCUUCCUCCAGAGGCAGCAGCGUGGCCACAUCUGAGGACGGGCACCGCCCACCAGCCCAGGGUGCACAUUUUCACAGAGCAGUUGCAGGACUAGCUGGUAGGCUUGCAGAUGAAUGCUAGAUGCCCAGUUGAAUUUGAAUUUCAGAUAAACAAUGAAAAAACUUUUCAGUAUAAAUAUAUCCCACACAAUAGUUGGGAUAUACUUAUACCAAUUAUUUAUCUGAAAUUCCAACUUACCUGGCUGUCCUGUAAUUUUCUUUGCUAAACCUGGCAACUUUACAUGGGGACCAAAUGCUUCAGCUGGAACUGGGGAGGGCAGGGUAUCACUAAUACUUUACAAAUGAAGUGCCGGGUGAAGGUUUUGGUUCAAAAAUUCAGAACACCUUCUGAUGGGGCCAGGAAUCAAGGCAAUGCAAACCAUUCAAAGUGUCUUGCUUUCAUCUUUUUGAUGCCUCCCUACCGAAGGACAAGGCACUCUGUCUAUCAAGGGUCUAGAAACAUCUUUCUGCCCCCAAUGUCUGUUUAGAAGGCAACACCCUGCCAGUGGUAUUUGGAAAUUGAAUUAUACCUUCUUUUUUAAAACAGAAAAGAAAAAGUCUUCUCUCCGGGGCAGCAUUCACAUGCCCAUGAGCUAGGCUAUCAAGUAUGAAUAUUCUCUUAAAAAUAAAAUUAUGGUGUACUUAAAAAGGAGCAUGUUAUGUCAGCACUGGUGAUAAGACAAUUUAUUACUGUCUACAAAAAGAAGGCUCUAAUGAUGUGGUGGAAGCUGGCUCAGUGGGCUGUAAAUUAUAAGCCAUUCUCUCGCUGGUGGAAAUAAAUCCUCCUGUCAAGUCACUGUGCUCCCCUUGUCGGCCACGGGCUGCGAAGCGGCAGUAACUACAUGACUGUCACCUGGGGAGCAGCCCCACUCCACCCCUUGGGGGUCCCCCCACUAGUCCACACAAACCUCCCACGACCUCUAGUCACAUCUUUGGGACACAUGUCCUUUUUGACAUGAAAAAAUAACAACUGUUUAUGGUCUUCUAAUAGGCAAAACAAAAAAGAGAGAGAGGAAGGGAGGGAGGGAGGGAGGGAAGGAAGGAAGGAAGGAAGGAAGGAAGGAAGGAAGGAAGGUGAAGGGAAGGAAGGAAACAGAAUGCAGAGUUCACUGGGAGAGGAGCAGGAUUCGAGAUCAGAAGGCCUCACUGGACACCCUGCUUUGAGGGAAAUGCCCUUCCCUCCUGAGCCAGGCUUUCCCUGGCUGGAAAAUGAAGGACUUGGGCUGAAGGGGAGACCGACAGGGACUGCUGUUCCCACAGGUGCUGUGCUCCCAUGCGGUGAUGAGCCUCCUGAGCGGGAGGGGUUCAAGAAGAGCUGGGGCAGCACCUGCUGGAGAUGGUGAGGAGGGGCCUCCUUCACCCUUCAGGAAGCUGAGCUCACACUGACUCCCAGGGCCAGCUCCCCAAUUCCAGAACUCAGUGUAGAGAGCCUCAAGUCCCACCCACCCACCUCUGGCAGAGCUGGUGAGUGCCCCACAUCUUCCCCUCCAGUGGCCUUACCACUGUUCAAAGGCGAGCUGUGCGAUCAGCCCCUUCCCCUGGAGCCCGCUGUCUGCAUCCAGACAGAGAUGUGCACACCAUGAACAAACAAUAUGGGUGAUUGCUAGGAGAUAAAUAGGACUACAUGGGUCUAGUGUGUAUGAGCCUGCAGGUUAAGUGCUUUCCUAGAAUGGCUGAAGGAUUAGUUGGCAGGGUUGCCAGACAAAUACUAGAUGCUGAAUUAAAUUUGAAUUUCAGAUAAAGAAUGGGAAAAAAAAUUUUUUUAAGUAGAAGUAUAUCCCACACAAUAGUUGGCAUAUACUUAUAAAACGAUUUGCUAUUUAUCUGAAAUUCCAACUUACCUGGCUGUCCUGUAUUUUUCUUUGCUAAACCUGGCAACUCUUGAUGGGGACCAAAUGCUUCAGCUGGAACUGGGGAGGGCAGGGUAUCACUAAUACUUUAAGAAGUGCCAGGCGAAGGUUUUGGUUUAAGAAUUCAGAACACCUUCUGAUGGGGCCAGGAAUCAAGCUACUCAAACCAUUCAAAGUAUCUUGCUGAGCUCAGAUACAGGCCAUUAGGCAUCUAGACAGAUUAAAAUAACGUAAAAAUAAAUAAAAACAAAGAAAGACACCGACAGGGAGGGAGAUAAGACUAAAUGAAACAUCUGAGACUACAGUAAUAACCCUUGGGGCCUCAGGCAGCAGCAUCCGUGGGAGAAGUGGUGGCUCGGAAGUGGCUCGUGCCAGGGAGGUUUUGCGAGCUGGUGUAUCAGGCAGUAUUUGGGUGACCCGGGAAGCACCCCUCUGCCUGCCAGUCCCCCUCCCAUCCUGGCCCCAGCGGGAUCUGCCCAGGCCAGGAGUGCCGCAGCACCCAUUUGCUGUGCUCGUUCCCCGCCCCCCAGGGUCCUUCCCUGCUCCCACUACCCACCCUGACACCCCAGCAAAAUGGACAAUUGUCCAAGUCACAGGCACCCCUCCCAAACAAUUCCUAUUUCUUCUAUUUUGUCAUUUCCUUUCACAUCUUAUCUCUCUUGAGUUUUCAAUUGUUUUUCCUCCAUUUUCUUGUUACUUAUUUUCCCCCCAGAAAUGUUUUUCUGAUCGUCAGCAAGACACCUAUGCCUAUAUAUAACCCAACGUGAAUUGUGUCUGUUGCCCUUUCUGCCCCAUGGGACUAGGCACCCGUGAACUUUUCCGUGAACUCUGCUUUGCUGGGGCAGGCGUGGUGAGAGACACAGCACGUGGGGCAGCUCGGACACCAGGCAGGAGGCCGUGGGGACACACACCGCGCUUUGCAAGGAGGAGUCCAGGAGGAAUGUCAACAGCACUGUCUUCUAGUCCAAAAGAGGGGGCAGGGUUAAGGGUUAGCGACUGCAGUUCUACAUUAACCAGCCCUUCUGGGGAUCUAUAGAAUAAUGACAAUGUUUGGACUGUCGGUGUCAAGGCUGUAAGCAGUCCUAGGGUUGUCUGAGCCACGGGUUAAAGAGAAUCUACGAUACAGUAAUUUACUGAACUGUUCUCUAAUUACAUGAAAAUUGUCAUCCACGUCUGCCACACACGGGAACAGGGAGCCAACCAUGUUCUGACUAAUCUACGUGUUGUCAGGUUCAUGGAGAGCUGGCUGUACCUACCAUCGCUGGACCCAAAAUUCUUCCUAUUCUGUAUUAUUUUGUGCUUUUGCCCAGAGAAAAAUGAUGGAUUAAAGCAGAAAAGCAGGUACAGGCUGUCCCCACAUGAGCACGUUAAAAGGCAAAGAGAUAUCGAAAUGUCAAACUUUUGCCACCAGCCCAUCAUUUGAACGCUUUUCCAGCCGAGCGCAUCUGCAGUGACAUCGACCCCUCCCUGUGCUUCACCAGGCAAGGGGGGUGCUCCCGCUGGCCGUCACCAGGGACCUGGACCAAACCCUGAUGUGGGGUGAGGGGUCAUCCCUCGUGCUGGAGGAGCAAUCAGGAUGCACCAUGUGGGUGGGUGUCUGGGAGCCUUUCAGACCAACCAAGCGUUAAUAGCCCAUCUUGGCCCCAGAUCCUCUAACACGGCCCUGACACUGCUCUUCUCAGAGCUUCACACGAAGGUGACGCGGUUUCUCGUUUUAAGUGAGACCGAGAUGCACACUACCUCCGUGCAGACAUACAUCACUCAAAGCUUUUCCCACAGAUGCCAAAAGGGUCCGACCCACAGCCCCAAAGGCAAAGAUAACCAAGUGGUCGUUAAAACUGAACAAAUGCAAUCAAGAUAAGAGUCUAAGUGCUAGUGGAAAAGACAGUGGCACUGAAAAUAGCCUGAAGGGGCUGGCAAGAUGGCCUGCAUUUUUGCCCAGAAGUCCUAAUGAGGAAGGGACUGUCCCUCCUACUCCCAGCAAGGCCACCAUCCUGAAGCCUGAUGACAAAUGGAUGACAAAUGCUGAAGACCCUCGUGUCCUGAUGGUCUAAGACACUGCUUUUCACUAUCAACUUUUUCACAUCUAGUUCUCAGAACAAGGAUGUAUUUAUUCACAAUGCAACUGUGUUGUGCCUGUCUCCGCCUAUCAAUAACCAGUGUUGUGGAUGGAUGGGCCCUUGUGGUUCUUAUUAUGACUGCAAGAUACCCUUCAGCAACAGCCAUCAGGAAACUUGGAGAAAAUAAAGGUUCAUUACCUACAGGACCUGGAAAUUACACAGCCACACAGAGAGUUCUCGGUGCUGGGGUUCUGCUUUUACUGGGGUUGAGGGAGGGGCCUAGGGUUUCACAGGCUCGCUCACUAUUGCUGAAUUUAAAACACAAGAGCAGGAAGGGAAAAAAAAAAACCCAAGUGGCCCAAAUGGUUAGUUAUUGAAAUCAACGAAGAUCUCUAAAACGGGGAACCUCAGUGAAGGAGGCAGUCUGGCUCUCUAUCCAGCCCUGUGGCUGGCUGUGUGUUUACCGAGACAGCCGUCUUUGAAGUGGAUGCCUAGGCGAUCAGAGAGUAAGUCAGGCACUUGCAAUGCAAAACAGAAAAGACAAACAGAAACGAAAAACUGUCUGGGCUUGCACUACAUCAACAUUUUAUUUUAUUUUAUUCAUUUAAAGCAUUUCAAAAUGCUUUUCUGAAUACGUGCGGUAGAAGAGGCCACAUAAUGAAAAGCAAAGGCCACCCACUCCGUUCCCUUCCCCACCCACAGUCCCAGAAGCUGCCAUCCUUUUUUUUGGGGCCAUCUUUAACCAUUUCUGCAUUUGGCUUUUCUGGUGGUUAGCAUCUUAAUUUUAGCACACUAUGGCUCUAUCUUGAUAUUCAGCUUGACUCUUUGCUAUGAAACACAGGCUUUAGCUAACACACUACUCCCUCCUCUAAAUUUUAAGAGUUACUAUUUAAAUUUUUCUGUUGGCUACCUUUGAAACAUUGUCUCACACCUAAUCUUACUUCUUCUAUUGUUUUCAGACAAUCUCUUAAUUUCUCUCAACUAUACCCUGACAACAUUUAAAUUGUCAGAGUUGAUAAUUUUAUAUACUAUUUUAUGAACAUAAUUCUUUCAUGUUUUGUCCAUAAGCUGAUUCUUAAAACCUAAAAAACAAUAAACACUGUUUACGCUAUUAUGAGUUAGUAAAUACUGUUCCUUCAAAGUCAGUCAGGAUAGUAGGAUUUUAUUUCCUUCUCUGUGGGUCCAGUGUCAUUAACUACAAGAAUCACGAAUGGUCAAUCAUUAAAUUCAUGUCACUUUGCUUCCUUCACAUUUAGACGCAGACAUGAGCUUCUCACAUAACUUUUUGUUCUUGGAAUAUUUAUUUGCCUUAUUUUUUCUUUGCUGGAUCUUUGAGAUUACCAAGCCUCUUAAUUCUACUAUUUCUUGAAGUUUUUUGCUGGAAUAUAUCCUGCAGUAACAGAAAGAGCGCUUUGGAGAUCAGUUUUUAGAGUACUUAUAAAUCUAAAACUCUUUGUUUUCUCACAGGCAUAACAAUUUUCUUCAUAUAGAAUACUGGGUUUUAAAUUAUAUUUUUCAGAAUUUUUUCUUCUUCUAAUAUCCAAUGUUCCUGGUAAGAUGUCUGAGGCCAGCAUUAUUUUUGCUCUUUCAAGGAUGACUUCUUCUCUCCUGGAAGCUUUAGGAAUUUCUCUUUAUGUGUGAUGUCCUGAAAUCUCUUGAGUCUGCAUCAAGGCAUGAAUCUUUUAUUCUCUGUCCUACUUGGAGCUUGGAGGGUCUUUUAGUCCGGAGAUAACUAUGUUUCUUCAGUUCUGAGAAACUUUCUUCUAUAGUGUCUUUAUUCUUUUAAUUUUAAUAAAAGUUGUACAUUUACAUGGUUUAAAAAUCAUAUAGUUCUAUAGGUCUUACAUGAAGUUAGCUGUUUCCUUUCCACACCCCAGAAGCCACUACUUCUGAUGUUUUUAGCCUCUGAUAUUUGCCUCUGUAUUUGUAAAUCACAUGCUUAAAUUCCAAUGUAUUGAUUUUUGUUUAUUUUAAAUAUAAUGUAUUUACUUCAGACAAUGGACAAUAAGGGUUCAGCUCUCGCACUCCACUCCCAUACCCUAAAAUACAUUUCUUUCCCUUCCCAUUCUAAUAGAAUGGUAUAAUAAUUUUUGGACAAAUCAAUAUUUAGCAUUUAUAUUAUUAUGACUGUAAAUAUUAUUUGAGGCUGUAGCAUGUGGUACAUUAAAAUUUUCUUUCUUAUACAAUUUUUUGUUUUCACUGGAGGCAAUUUUUUUUUCCAUUUGUUUAGUUUUUUUAUGUACCUAUCACAAAUUCAUCCCCAAACUCUUCAACAGAAAAAAAAAUCUCCCCUUUCCUGGGAAAGAAAAUAUGAGCAAUUUUUUUAAAAUUCAGGACACUGCAUAUCUGAAAGUGUCCAUUAGUAACAGCAUGAUGAGAGUCUGAGGAUACAGAAUUCUAAGACAUCAUUUUCAACAAGAACUGUGAAGGUCUUUCUUAUCCUUUACCUUCAGCCUUGCUGCUGAGAAGUCUAAUACAGGACUAAUACUAGGCCUUGUGGGCCUAUUCUUUCUCUCUGGGAACUUUAGUGCCUUUUUUUUGUCCCCAGUGUUUUAAAACUUUUCACUGGUGUGUCUUGUGUGGCUUUGUUUCCACUCAUCGUGCUGGACAAGUGGUAAACCCCUCAGACUAGAAAUCCAGGCUUUUGUGUGCAAGAAAUUUCCUUGAGUUGUUUCUUUGGUAUAUUGCCCCUCCAUUUUCUUUCUUCUCUAUUUUUGAAAGUUCUAUAAUUUAAACUUCCAUUUCCUGCUUAGUCUAAUUUUCUUAGCUUUUAGCUUCUAUUUUCCAUUUCUUUGUUGGAGUUGUUCUAAUUAUUAGAUUUCCUCAACUUUCUUUCCAGGCUUCUACUAAAUAUUUCAUUUCUGCUUUUUUAUUUUUAAAUUCCAAAAUCAUUUUUGUGUUCUAAAUCCUUUCUACAGCAAUAUUCUUUGAUCAGCCUUAUUGAAGUACAAUAUGUAAUUGUCCACAUCUAAAAUAUACAAUUUGAUAAGUUUUGACAUAUGUAUAUACCGAUGAAACCAUCACCAUAAUCAAUAUAAUAAUUUUUUCUUAGAUGAAUUACGGUUUUGAUAAAUUUUUACCUGACUCAUGCUCACAAAGAUUUUUUUCCUAUGUUUUCUUUAUCUAGAAAAUGUGUAGUUUUAGGAUUUACAUUUUGGUCUAUGAUCCAAUGUAAACCAAUAAACAGGGUUCUUUUUUUUUUUUGCAUAUGUGUAUCAAAUUGUUCCAGUGCUAUUUAUUGAAAAGGCUAUCCCUUUCUCCUGGAAUCGCCUUGGGGUGUUUCUCAAAAAUUAAUUGCCCAUACAUGUGUGAGUCUAUGUCUGGACUCUCCUCUCCUCCACUGAUCUGCUUGUGUAUCUUUACACCAAUACCAUCCUACUUGAUUACUGUAGCUACAUCAUAAGUCUGAAAAUCAGGUAGUGAAAACCCUCCUCAUUUGUUCUUCUCUUCAAAGUUGUUUUGGCCAUUCUGGGUCCUUUGCAUUUACAUAUAAAUUUUAGAAAUAGUGAAUUAAUAUCUACAAAACAAUCUGCUGGGAUUCUGAUUGUGUUAAAUCUAUACAUCAAUUUGGAGAGACCCAUCCUGUUAAUAAUAUUGAGAUUUCUGAUCCAUGAACAAGGCAUUAUCUCUCCAUUUGUGUAGAUCCUCCUUAAUUUCUCUUAGCAUAAAGGUGUUUCACAUCUUUCAUCAAGCUUAUCCCUAAAUAUCUAAUUUUUUGAUGCUACUGUAAAUGGUAUUGUUUUUGAAACUUUAAUUUCUAAUUAUUCAUUGCUAGUAUAUAGAAACACAUUAACUUUUUUUGUACAUGGAUCAAAUAUCCUAUAAUCUUACUGUAACUACUUCUUAGCUCUAGUAGCUCUUUGUAGAUUUUGUAAAGACUUCUACAAGGAUGAUCAUGUCUAUAAAUAAAGACAGUUUUUCUUCUUUUUUCCCAUCUGGAUGCCUUAUAUUUUUUUCUUGCCUUAUUGAAUGGACGAGAACUUCCAGGACAAGGUUGAAUAGAAAUACUGAAAGCAGACAUCCUAGCUUUGUUUCUUGUCUUAGAGGGAAAACAUUCAGUUUUUUUUUUUUUUAAACUUAAAAGAUCACUUUCUUAGAGGUACAACGUAAUAAUCACAAAAGAAAUCUUGUGAGGGAAAGGUGAAUUUUUCUAACAAAGCACAACAUACUGAAACAUAACAUUGUGGGUGCUUUUCCUUUUGUUUUUUUAAAUAGACUUUAUUUUUCAGGGCAGUUUUAGGCUCACAGCAAAAUUGAGCAGAAAGUACAGAGAAUUCCUAUAUACACCCCAGCCCCCACACAUGGACAGCCUCAUCCACUAUCAACAUCCUGCCCCAGAGUGGGACAUCUGUAACUGUCUUUUCACUGUCUCCAUGGUUUUACCUUUUCCAAAAUGUCAUACAGUUGGAAUCAUACAGUAUGCAGCCUUUUCAGAUUGGCUUCUUUUACUUAACAAUAUGCAUUUAUGUUUCCUCCAUAUCUUUUCAUGGCUUGAUAGCUCAUUACUUUUUAGUGAUGAAUAAUAUUCCAUUGUAUGGAUGUACCACAGUUUAUCCAUUCUUCUACUGAAUGAAAUCUUGGUUGCUUCCAAAUUUUGGCAAUUAUGAAUAAAGCUGCUAUAAAUAUC